UACGUAGGGUGCAAGCGUUGUCCGGAAUUAUUGGGCGUAAAGCGCACGUAGGCGGUCGCUUAAGUCGGAUGUGAAAGCCCUCGGCUCAACUGAGGAAGUGCAUCCGAAACUGAGUGGCUAGAGUAUGGUAGAGGGUCGCGGAAUUCCCGGUGUAGAGGUGAAAUUCGUAGAUAUCGGGAGGAACACCAGUGGCGAAGGCGGCUCACUGGCCCGAUACUGACGCUGAGGCACGAAAGCGUGGGGAGCAAACAGG
rnacentral:rRNA from 1 species